AAUAAACACUGCACUGUAUUGUCUGCCUUAUCUCAGUACUGACUGUGGGCUCAGAUUCAUAGUACAGUUCAUCAACUUCUCAGCAUGAUGGAUAAUGAAUGUUCCAUUUACAUCACUAAUUUCCAAGCUAUGGUUCCUGCAACCUUUAACCCAUAUGCUGUAUCCCAUUAUCAGUGUAUGUCAAUGUAAUUGCGUUUAGCCUUCUAAGUCAUAAACUUUCUUUUAUAGAGAGAAAUAUUUUUUUCACAAAAAAUCAU
rnacentral:sRNA from 1 species